AUACGGAGGAUCCGAGCGUUAUCCGGAUUUAUUGGGUUUAAAGGGAGCGUAGGCGGACGCUUAAGUCAGUUGUGAAAGUUUGCGGCUCAACCGUAAAAUUGCAGUUGAUACUGGGUGUCUUGAGUACAGUAGAGGCAGGCGGAAUUCGUGGUGUAGCGGUGAAAUGCUUAGAUAUCACGAAGAACUCCGAUUGUGAAGGCAGCCUGCUGGACUGUAACAGACGCUGAUGCUCUAAAGUGUGGGUAUCAAACAGGAUUAGAUACCCUGGUAGUCCACACAGUAAACGUUGAAUACUCGCUGUUUGCGAUAUACAGUAAGCGGCCAAGCGAAAGCAUUAAGUAUUCCACCUGGGGAGUACGCCGGCAACGGUGAAACUCAAAGGACUUGGCGGGG
rnacentral:rRNA from 1 species